AUUGAACGCUGGCGGCAGGCCUAACACAUGCAAGUCGAACGCGUGGCGGACGGGUGAGUAAUGUUUGGGAAACUGCCCGAUGUAGGGGGAUAACUACUGGAAACGGUAGCUAAUACCGCGUACUAUCAGAUGAGCCUAGGUCGGAUUAGCUAGUUGGUGGGGUAAAGGCCUACCAAGGCGACGAUCCGUAACUGGUCUGAGAGGAUGUUCAGUCACCCUGGAACUGAGACACGGUCCAGACUCCUACGGGAGGCAGCAGUGGGGAAUAUGGGACAAUGGGCGAAAGCCUGAUCCAGCCAUACCGCGUGGGUGAAGAAGGCCUUCGGGUUGUAAAGCCCUUUUGUUGGGAAAGCGGUACCCAAAGAAUAAGCACCGGCUAACUUCGUGCCAGCAGCCGCGGUAAUAC
rnacentral:rRNA from 1 species